rnacentral:rRNA from 1 species
GCAAUACCGGUGAGUACAGUGGCGCACGGGUGAGUAACACGUGGAUAACCUGCCUUCGAGUGGGGAAUAACCCUGGGAAACCGGGGCUAAUACCGCAUGACAUCCUUGAACGAUGUUUGGGGAUUGAAAUUCGCAAGAAGCUUGAAGAGGGGUCCGCGGCUGAUUAGCUAGUUGGUGAGGUAACGGCCCACCAAGGCUUUGAUCGGUAGCCGGCCUGAGAGGGCGGACGGCCACACUGGAACUGAAACACGGUCCAGACUCCUACGGGAGGCAGCAGUGGGGAAUUUUGCGCAAUGGGGGAAACCCUGACGCAGCAACGACGCGUGGACGAUGAAGCUUCUUGGAGUGUAAAGUCCUUUCGGCAGGGACGAAUAAAUUGACGGUACCUGCAGAAGAAGCCCCGGCUAACUUCGUGCCAGCAGCCGCGGUAAUACGAGGGGGGCGAGCGUUGUUCGGAAUUAUUGGGCGUAAAGGGCGCGUAGGCGGUGUGGCAAGUCAGGUGUGAAACCUCCAGGCUUAACUUGGAGCUUGCACCUGAAACUGCCGUGCUAGAGUGUGGGAGAGGAGAGUGGAAUUCCUGGUGUAGCGGUGAAAUGCGUAGAUAUCAGGAGGAACACCGGUGGCGAAGGCGGCUCUCUGGACCACAACUGACGCUGAGGCGCGAAAGCCAGGGGAGCAAACAGGAUUAGAUACCCUGGUAGUCCUGGCUG